GGGGAAUUUUGCGCAAUGGGCGAAAGCCUGACGACGCAACGCCGCGUGGAGGAUGAAGAAUUUCGGUUCGUAAACUCCUGUCGAGCGGGACGAAAGAUGCGCGGGUUAAUACCCCGCGCAAGUGACGGUACCGCUAAAGGAAGCCCCGGCUCACUCCGUGCCAGCAGCCGCGGUAAUACGGGGGGGGCAAGCGUUGUUCGGAAUUGCUGGGCGUAAAGGGCGCGUAGGCGGCCUGCUAAGUCGAACGUGAAAUCCCUGGGCUCAACCCAGGAACUGCGUCCGAUACUGGUUGGCUUGAAUCCGGGAGAGGGAUGCGGAAUUCCAGGUGUAGCGGUGAAAUGCGUAGAUAUCUGGAGGAACACCGGUGGCGAAGGCGGCAUCCUGGACCGGCAUUGACGCUGAGGCGCGAAAGCCAGGGGAGCAAA
rnacentral:rRNA from 1 species